GUAUGUGAGGGUGAUUGGGCUGCGACAUCUGUCACCCCACUGAUCGCCAGGGUUGAUUCGGCUGAUCUGGCUGGCUAGGCAGGUGUCCCCCUCCUCCCUCACCGAUCCAUGUGCGUCCCUCUUGAAGCUGCGCCUUCCCCCCAGAGGAGAGGACCGGUCUUCGAUCAAGGGUAUACAAGUAGCUGCGCUCCCCUGCUAGAACCUCCAAACAAGCUCUUAAAAAUAUGUUAGUAUAUCUGGAAGCAAAUGGCUACGGACUAACCUUUCUAUGCACAGACUCACAUUAUUUCUGU
rnacentral:snRNA from 1 species